rnacentral:tRNA from 1 species
GGCUCAAUGGUCUAGUGGUAUGAUUCGCGCUUCGGGUUUCCACCCUGAUUUGAAAACAAAUCAUGUGCGAGGUCUCGGGUUCGAUCCCCGAUUGAGCCC